rnacentral:ncRNA from 1 species
UCUGGAUAAACUUGUAUUCUCCCAAGAGAGAGGAACAAGUCACUUUACGGAAUUAAAUAAGCAACACAUUUAAGGAUUGCCAAAGACUUACAUAUAAGCGAAAUCCUUGAAUGACUAGGAUAACCGUAUGUCCUUUGACAUAUUAUGUCAUAAAAGUAAUCUUGAACAGCUUUGAUUAAGUUUUCAAGUUACGAUUGA